GUGGAUUUGUGCUACUGACGGUUAAGUGGAGUUUACCACGUGAAGUGCAAAUUCUUGAAAAACAAUGUUGACCGUCUGGGCAAUAAUU
rnacentral:ncRNA from 2 species